UACGAAGGGGGCGAGCGUUAUCCGGAAUUAUUGGGCGUAAAGAGCUCGUAGGCGGUUUGUCGCGUCUGCCGUGAAAGUCCGGGGCUCAACUCCGGAUCUGCGGUGGGUACGGGCAGACUAGAGUGAUGUAGGGGAGACUGGAAUUCCUGGUGUAGCGGUGAAAUGCGCAGAUAUCAGGAGGAACACCGAUGGCGAAGGCAGGUCUCUGGGCCACUACUGACGCUGAGAAGCGAAAGCAUGGGGAGCGAACAGG
rnacentral:rRNA from 1 species